AUUUGUAAAUAAAUAAAUUUAAAAAUACUCUGAGCCUGCAGAUAAGCUUUUUCCAACUCAUUUGAAAAUGCACUAUAAAACAAAAAUUUAGGCAUGAAAAAUGGAUUUAAAAUAUUGAUAAUGCUAAGAAGCAAAGUUCACAUUUAACCAGUCUUCACGCUAACUAUAAGCCUGACAGCCCGGGACUGGGUAAAUGUUAAUCGGGCUACUAGAAAUUAAUAAUUUAUAUAGUUGGGCUAUUGGAUUUUUUGUCUGUUUCUAAUAAAGCAUCAUAUGCCGGGCUAGUGGUUGAAAUAUAUUACCGUGAAGACUGCAUUUAACAUAUAUUAUCUCAUUUAACAUGACAAUUUUGGACAAAUACCCUGAUAUAGAGAAAUUUGCAUGUUUUAACUCUGAAAACAGCUACCUAUUUAAUUUACCUUUUGCUGUUUUACAGAGCGUCCAAAGGUUCACCUGACCACCACAACUCUUUUCGGAGUGUCUGAAGUUCGUGUACGUGCUAGGAAGCCACUUACAAUGAAACUGGGCAUUACCGGUUCUCCAACUCCCAUUGUCAUCUGGGCUAAAGAAGGAAAACCCAUUCCAAGGGCUCGCACCUCAUUACUAUACUACACUAGAGCUCCCAAAAGCAGAUCAUGGUGACACUGGAAACUACCUUGUGACUGUUGAAAACGAACAUGGCAGAGAUUCUGCAGAUAUUCCGGUCUUAGUUAUUGACAAGCCUGGACCCCCGGACGGUCCUUUGGAGGUCAGUGAUGCGUUUGCGGACUCCUGCCAAUUGGCUUGGAAACCACCUCAGGACAAAGGAAACUAACCAAUAAUCGUUACACAGUAGAAAAAUUCCAGGAGGGCUUGUACUUCUGGGAAAAGGUGCCUGGCAUGCCGAUGUGCAAGUCCAUAAUAGUCACUGGACUGAAGACUGGAGUCAAGUUCAAGUUCAGGGUCAUGGCUGAGAACAUAUACGGAAUAGGAGAGCCCUUAGAGACAGAUUUCCCAGUGUUAGUCAAGAAUAGAUUUGAGUCCCCAAAGGUUCACCUGACCAACACAUCUCUUUCUUGAGCGUCUGAAGUUUGUGUAUGUGCUGGGGAGCCACUUACGAUGAAACUGGGCAUUACCGGUUCUCCUACUCCCACUGUCAUCUGGACCAAAAAAGGAAAACCCAUCCCAAGGGCUCGCACCUCCAACACUAAUGACUGUACUACACUAGAGCUCCUAAAAGCACAUCAUGGGGACACUGGAAACUACCUUGUGAUUGUUGAAAACGAUCAUGGCAGAGAUUUUGCAGAUAUUCCGUUCAUCAUUAUUGACAAGUGUGGACCCCCCGAAGGUCCUCUGGAGGUCAGUGAUGUGUUUGCGGACUCCUGCUGAUUGGCAUGGAAACCACCUCAGGAAAAAAGAAACUUACCAAUUAUCGGUUACAUAGUAGAGAAAUGCCAGGAGGGCUCAGACUUCUGGGAAAAGGUGCCUGGCAUACCGAUGUGCAAGUCCAGAAUAGUCACUGGACUGAAGACUGGAGUCAAGUUCAAGUUCA